GGCUCAGGACGAACGCUGGCGGCGUGCCUAACACAUGCAAGUCUAGGGAGAAGAGGGUAGCAAUACCUUGAGUAAACCGGCGCAAGGGUGAGUAACACGUAGGCAACCUGCCCUAAGGACGGGAAUAACUUCGAGAAAUCGAGGCUAAUACCCGAUAAUGCAGCGGCACCACAUGGUGACAGUUGUUAAAUGCCCGCAAGGGUUCCUUUGGAUGGGCCUGCGUCCCAUUAGGUAGUUGGUGAGGUAACGGCCCACCAAGCCGACGAUGGGUAGCUGGUCUGAGAGGACGAUCAGCCACACUGGAACUGAGACACGGUCCAGACUCCUACGGGAGGCAGCAGUGAGGAAUAUUGCACAAUGCCCGAAAGGGUGAUGCAGCGACGCCGCGUGAAGGAUGAAGGCCCUAUGGGUCGUAAACUUCUUUUGAGAGGGAAGAACGUAUCGCUACAGGCGAUAUUGACUGUACCUCUAGAAAAAGCAUCGGCUAACUACGUGCCAGCAGCCGCGGUAAUACGUAGGAUGCGAGCGUUGUCCGGAAUCACUGGGUGUAAAGGGAGCGCAGGCGGUUCGGCAAGUCAUUGGUGAAAUUCUCAGGCUUAACCUGGGGGCUGCCAAUGAUACUGCUGAUCUUGAGUGUGGAAGAGGUAGAUGGAAUUCCUGGUGUAGCGGUGAAAUGCGUAGAUAUCAGGAAGAACACCGAUGGCGAAGGCAGUCUACUGGUCCAUUACUGACGCUCAUGCUCGAAAGCGUGGGGAUCAAACAGGAUUAGAUACCCUGGUAGUCCACGCCCUAAACGAUGGAUACUCGAUGUCGUGCCGCAAGGCUCGGUGUCUAAGCAAACGCAAUAAGUAUCCCACCUGGGAAGUACGAUCGCAAGGUUGAA
rnacentral:rRNA from 1 species